rnacentral:rRNA from 1 species
GAUGAACGCUGGCGGCGUGCCUAAUACAUGCAAGUCGAGCGAACGGACGAGAAGCUUGCUUCUCUGAUGUUAGCGGCGGACGGGUGAGUAACACGUGGAUAACCUACCUAUAAGACUGGGAUAACUUCGGGAAACCGGAGCUAAUACCGGAUGAUAUUUUGAACCGCAUGGUUCAAAAGUGAAAGACGGUCUUGCUGUCACUUAUAGAUGGAUCCGCGCUGCAUUAGCUAGUUGGUAAGGUAACGGCUUACCAAGGCAACGAUGCAUAGCCGACCUGAGAGGGUGAUUGGCCACACUAGAACUGAGACACGGUCCAGACUCCUACGGGAGGCGGCAGUAGGGAAUCUUCCGCAAUGGGCGAAAGCCUGACGGAGCAACGCCGCGUGAGUGAUGAAGGUCUUCGGAUCGUAAAACUCUGUUAUUAGGGAAGAACAUAUGUGUAAGUAACUGUGCACAUCUUGACGGUACCUAAUCAGGAAGCCACGGCUAACUACGUG